AUUGAACGCUGGCGACAUGCCUUACACAUGCAAGUCGAACGGUAACAGGUCUUCGGAUGCUGACGAGUGGCGAACGGGUGUGUAAUACAUCGGAACGUGCCUAGUAGUGGGGGAUAACUACUCGAAAGAGUGGCUAAUACCGCAUGAGAUCUACGGAUGAAAGCAGGGGAUCGCAAGACCUUGUGCUACUAGAGCGGCCGAUGGCAGAUUAGGUAGUUGGUGGGAUAAAAGCUUACCAAGCCGACGAUCUGUAGCUGGUCUGAGAGGACGAUCAGCCACACUGGGACUGAGACACGGCCCAGACUCCUACGGGAGGCAGCAGUGGGGAAUUUUGGACAAUGGGCGCAAGCCUGAUCCAGCAAUGCCGCGUGCAGGAUGAAGGCCUUCGGGUUGUAAACUGCUUUUGUACGGAACGAAAAGCCCUGGGUUAAUACCCUGGGGUCAUGACGGUACCGUAAGAAUAAGCACCGGCUAACUACGUGCCAGCAGCCGCCGUAA
rnacentral:rRNA from 1 species